CCCUUAGAUGUUCUGGGCCGCACGCGCGCUACACUGUUCGACGCAGCGAGUCUUAACCUUGACCGAAAGGUUUGGGUAAUCUUCAGCAAAGUCGAACGUGAUGGGGAUCGAUCAUUGCAAUUAUUGAUCGUGAACGAGGACUUCCUAGUAAGUGCAAGUCAUCAGCUUGCGCUGAUUACGUCCCUGCCCUUUGUACACACCGCCCGUCGCUACUACCGAUUGAAUGGUUUAGUGAGAUCUCUGGAUUGACGCUGGCUAGGGGGCGACCCUUGGCCAGACUGUUGAGAAACUGCUCAAACUUGAUCAUUUAGAGGAAGUAAAAGUCGUAACA
rnacentral:rRNA from 1 species